rnacentral:rRNA from 1 species
UACGAAGGGGGCUAGCGUUGCUCGGAAUGACUGGGCGUAAAGGGCGCGUAGGCGGAUGGCACAGUCAGAUGUGAAAUUCCUGGGCUUAACCUGGGGGCUGCAUUUGAUACGUGUGAUCUAGAGUGAGGAAGAGGGUUGUGGAAUUCCCAGUGUAGAGGUGAAAUUCGUAGAUAUUGGGAAGAACACCGGUGGCGAAGGCGGCGACCUGGUCCUUAACUGACGCUGAGGCGCGAAGGCGUGGGGAGCAAACAGG